rnacentral:hammerhead_ribozyme from 1 species
AUCCAAAUGACGAGUCCCAAAUAGGAUGAAACAUGUAUCUUGGAU